rnacentral:rRNA from 1 species
GAGUUUGAUCCUGGCUCAGGAUGAACGCUAGCGGCAGGCUUAACACAUGCAAGUCGAGGGGUAACAGGAUUUAGUUUACUAGAUUGCUGACGACCGGCGCACGGGUGAGUAACGCGUAUACAAUUUACCUUUUACUGAAGAAUAGCCCAGAGAAAUUUGGAUUAAUGCUUCAUGGUAUUAUUUGGUCACCUGACUAAGUAACUAAAGUUCCGACGGUAAAAGAUGAGUAUGCGUCCUAUUAGCUAGAUGGUAAGGUAACGGCUUACCAUGGCGACGAUAGGUAGGGGUCCUGAGAGGGAGAUCCCCCACACUGGUACUGAGACACGGACCAGACUCCUACGGGAGGCAGCAGUGAGGAAUAUUGGGCAAUGGAGGCAACUCUGACCCAGCCAUGCCGCGUGCAGGAAGACUGCCCUAUGGGUUGUAAACUGCUUUUAUACAGGAAGAAACUUAUCCACGUGUGGAUAACUGACGGUACUGUAAGAAUAAGGACCGGCUAACUCCGUGCCAGCAGCCGCGGUAAUACGGAGGGUCCAAGCGUUAUCCGGAAUCAUUGGGUUUAAAGGGUCCGUAGGCGGGCAAUUAAGUCAGAGGUGAAAUCCCACAGCUCAACUGUGGAACUGCCUUUGAUACUGGUUGUCUUGAGUUAUAGUGAAGUAGAUAGAAUAUGUAGUGUAGCGGUGAAAUGCAUAGAUAUUACAUAGAAUACCGAUUGCGAAGGCAGUCUACUAACUGUACACUGACGCUAAUGGACGAAAGCGUGGGGAGCGAACAGGAU